UACGCUUCUGAUAAUACUGUGCAAUAAGGUUUCUCAUACAAGAUUUGUUCCUCUUUUGGGAUAUUGUUUAGAGAAGGAAAAUGAGAAAUUUUUGAUUUACAAACAUAUGCCCAAUGGCGAUUUGACGAGUUCUUUCUAUAUGAAGAAGAAACUAGAGGGUGAUAAUUUACAAUCACUAGAUUGGAUAACGAGAAUAAAAGUUGCAAUUGGAGCUGCAUAGGCUCUAUCUUAUCUGCAUCAUUAAUGUUCUCCGACAAUGGUCCACAGGUAAUUUCUAGCUAAUGAAUCAAUCUCCUCUUUGUCUUUUGUAGAGGAUCCGACAAAAGCAGUUCUGGUUCAUCAACAUGGACAUUUGUGAAUGACGUAUACUGUUUCGGAAAGGUAUUGUUGGAACUGAUAACGGGCAAGAUAGAACUGGAUGGAUCAAAGGAUGAAUCUGCAAUAAAGGAAUAAUUAUAAGCAAGUUUACCUUGUAUAAUUAUAUAUGAGAAGGAGCUUAUAACAAAUAUUGUGGAUCCAUCACUAAUUAUAAAUGAAGAUUUGUUAGAAGAAGUAUGAUCAAUGGCUAUUGUUGCCAAAUCUUGCCUAAAUCCAAAACCAUCUAGAAGGCCAUUGAUGAGAUAUGUUGUGAAAGCAUUGGAAAAUCCUUUGAAAGUCAUAAAUACAAGCUCUGGCAAGUUCAGACCUAUUUCAUCGACAGGUUCUUGGAAUACUACGUUUCUUUGCAAUUUGUGUCAUAGUAGUUCGUCUGAUGCAAGCAAGGAAGGGAUAACCUCUUUCCAUUGAUCGUCCAUUGUCUAUGAGACCACUUUCCAGGGAGAACCUUCCGGAAGCAAACAUUUCCUGAUUGUUUAUCAUUAAUGAUAUGAUGAUAUGGGGAAGGUGGGGAAAAGAUGGUAUAUAAUUUGGUGGGGUUUUCUUUGUUUAUGUUUAGAUUGGUGAUGGUAAUUGAUCAGUUGGGCAUGUUUCUUGGUUUUGGUUUGUAAUUGUUAGAUAUUUCUGGUUUACAAUUCAAUUUGUCUUUUUUGAAAGAAUUUUUUUUUAUUGGA